rnacentral:rRNA from 1 species
AGUGAACGCUGGCGGUAGGCCUAACACAUGCAAGUCGAACGGCAGCACAGUAAGAGCUUGCUCUUACGGGUGGCGAGUGGCGGACGGGUGAGGAAUACAUCGGAAUCUACUUUUUCGUGGGGGAUAACGUAGGGAAACUUACGCUAAUACCGCAUACGACCUACGGGUGAAAGCGGGGGAUCUUCGGACCUUGCGCGAUUGAAUGAGCCGAUGUCGGAUUAGCUAGUUGGCGGGGUAAAGGCCCACCAAGGCGACGAUCCGUAGCUGGUCUGAGAGGAUAAUCAGCCACACUGGAACUGAGACACGGUCCAGACUCCUACGGGAGGCAGCAGUGGGGAAUAUUGGACAAUGGGCGCAAGCCUGAUCCAGCCAUACCGCGUGGGUGAAGAAGGCCUUCGGGUUGUAAAGCCCUUUUGUUGGGAAAGAAAAGCAGCAGGUUAAUACCCCGCUGUUCUGACGGUACCCAAAGAAUAAGCACCGGCUAACUUCGUG